GUCCUCGCCUCGGCAGUACAUACAGUAAAAUUGGAACGAUACAGAGAAGAUUAACAUGGCCCCCGUGCAAGGGUGACAUGCACACCCACGAGGCGUUCUGUAUUUUG